rnacentral:RNase_P_RNA from 1 species
UCAUGAGGAAAGUCCGGGCUCCACAGGGCAAGGAUAACGGGUAACGCCCGCCCAGAGCGAUCUGAGGAAAAGUGCAACAGAGAUAUACCGCUGGCAAAGCUCGGCUUUGCCAGUAAGGGUGGAAAAGUGCGGUAAGAGCGCACUCGAUGGCUGGAGACUGUCCAUCGCUGUAAACUCUAUCCGGAGCAACACCGGUAUGGGAGCAUACAGGCUGGCCCGGCCGCUCCCGGGGUGGCUUGAGCGUGCUGGCAACAGUACGUCGAGAUAGAUGACUGUCAAAUACAGAACCCGGCUUACAGUUUUGCUCG